rnacentral:sRNA from 1 species
AUCUAUUUCCAAGAUGAGGAAGGGACCUUUCUUAAG